AUAUUUAAACUAACUUGGGAAACAUGAAAAAGACACCUUGAAGUCUCAAGAAUUGUAAUUCAGAAGAAACCUUUCAACGUGUUUUUCUUUGCUGUGGAAGGGUAAAGGGGUUCUGGGACAUGAAGAAGAAAUAGUCUGUGCAUAAGGUGGCAAGCUCAGUUACUAUGGAGUUGGAAGAACUGAAAUGCGGACUUUGCUUUCUUGGCAAAGAAGGUGUUUUCAUUGGCAGCCUGACCAUGGACAGACAUGUUUAUUUAAAUAGAUACAUGACAGUCAUCCCAAUAUGAAACAGUGAUUGGCAUGUGACAUAUAUCCAAAGGUAUUAGUCAGUGCAAAAUGGAGGUCAUAUCAAACCAGUGUUUACUGAGGGGCAUCCCCACUAUGCAUCCAUUACAUCAGACAUCAGCACUGGAAGUGCAUCAUCACAUGUUUACUUUUUUUUACACCAAAGGUGAUACACUACUUCUUUGACAGCAUGCAGACCAGGUUGAUGAAAUCUGCACUGCACUUCAAUCAGAAUGUUAUUCGGUCACAGAAAAUCAUGGUUGCUGGUGAGGCUUAGUAGACAGUAUUAUACCCGCAAAGACAAGGAGGUGAACCCAUCAUGAAGGAACUGAAAGUGCUCUAACUUACAGUACUGAAAGCUUCAUCUGCAUCAGUACUUAUGUCUUCCAUAAUGUACUGUAUAGCAUCAUUGGCUGUUUAGCAUAUGUAUGACUGCAAUAUGUACUGACUUGCAAUUGUUUUUAUAGUGCUUGAAAUAAUUCAUGCAGUGCAAGUUACUACCAAUUGGUGUGUGUACACAAUACCAACAUAUAACAGCAUCUCUGCUUUCAUUUAAGAUGCGUGUGGACUUCAAAAAGGGCUCUUUUCUCCACACAGAAGAUAUUCCAUCAUGCAUCUAGGCAUUAAAUAGAAAUAUGUUAAUACUACAGCCCACAGUAGCCACCUCCAAAUAUAAGCACCAUAGCAAGACAGACCUCAUUGAAUGUUUAAGAAGCAGAUUGCAUUAUAGAAUGAAUGGAAUAUAUGAUG